GAUGAACGCUAGCUACAGGCUUAACACAUGCAAGUCGAGGGGCAGCAUGGUUUUAGCUUGCUAAGACUGAUGGCGACCGGCGCACGGGUGAGUAACACGUAUCCAACCUGCCGUCUACUCUUGGACAGCCUUCUGAAAGGAAGAUUAAUACAAGAUGGCAUCAUGACUCCGCAUGUUCACAUGAUUAAAGGUAUUCCGGUAGACGAUGGGGAUGCGUUCCAUUAGAUAGUAGGCGGGGUAACGGCCCACCUAGUCUUCGAUGGAUAGGGGUUCUGAGAGGAAGGUGCCCCACAUUGGAACUGAGACACGGUCCAAACUCCUACGGGAGGCAGCAGUGAGGAAUAUUGGUCAAUGGGCGAGAGCCUGAACCAGCCAAGUAGCGUGAAGGAUGACUGCCCUAUGGGUUGUAAACUUCUUUUAUAAAGGAAUAAAGUCGGGUAUGGAUACCCGUUUGCAUGUACUUUAUGAAUAAGGAUCGGCUAACUCCGUGCCAGCAGCCGCGGUAAUACGGAGGAUCCGAGCGUUAUCCGGAUUUAUUGGGUUUAAAGGGAGCGUAGAUGGAUGUUUAAGUCAGUUGUGAAAGUUUGCGGCUCAACCGUAAAAUUGCAGUUGAUACUGGAUAUCUUGAGUGCAGUUGAGGCAGGCGGAAUUCGUGGUGUAGCGGUGAAAUGCUUAGAUAUCACGAAGAACUCCGAUUGCGAAGGCAGCCUGCUAAGCUGCAACUGACAUUGAGGCUCGAAAGUGUGGGUAUCAAACAGGAUUAGAUACCCUGGUAGUCCACACGGUAAACGAUGAAUACUCGCUGUUUGCGAUAUACAGCAAGCGGCCAAGCGAAAGCGUUAAGUAUUCCACCUGGGGAGUACGCCGGCAACGGUGAAACUCAAAGGAAUUGACGGGGGCCCGCACAAGCGGAGGAACAUGUGGUUUAAUUCGAUGAUACGCGAGGAACCUUACCCGGGCUUAAAUUGCAGAUGAAUUACGGUGAAAGCCGUAAGCCGCAAGGCAUCUGUGAAGGUGCUGCAUGGUUGUCGUCAGCUCGUGCCGUGAGGUGUCGGCUUAAGUGCCAUAACGAGCGCAACCCUUGUUGUCAGUUACUAACAGGUCAUGCUGAGGACUCUGACAAGACUGCCAUCGUAAGAUGUGAGGAAGGUGGGGAUGACGUCAAAUCAGCACGGCCCUUACGUCCGGGGCUACACACGUGUUACAAUGGGGGGUACAGAGGGCCGCUACCACGCGAGUGGAUGCCAAUCCCAAAAACCUCUCUCAGUUCGGACUGGAGUCUGCAACCCGACUCCACGAAGCUGGAUUCGCUAGUAAUCGCGCAUCAGCCACGGCGCGGUGAAUACGUUCCCGGGCCUUGCACA
rnacentral:rRNA from 1 species